CGGACGGGUGAGUAAUGUCUGGGAAACUGCCUGAUGGAGGGGGAUAACUACUGGAAACGGUAGCUAAUACCGCAUAAUGUCGCAAGACCAAAGUGGGGGACCUUCGGGCCUCAUGCCAUCAGAUGUGCCCAGAUGGGAUUAGCUAGUAGGUGGGGUAACGGCUCACCUAGGCGACGAUCCCUAGCUGGUCUGAGAGGAUGACCAGCCACACUGGAACUGAGACACGGUCCAGACUCCUACGGGAGGCAGCAGUGGGGAAUAUUGCACAAUGGGCGCAAGCCUGAUGCAGCCAUGCCGCGUGUGUGAAGAAGGCCUUCGGGUUGUAAAGCACUUUCAGCGGGGAGGAAGGCGGUGAGGUUAAUAACCUCAUCGAUUGACGUUACCCGCAGAAGAAGCACCGGCUAACUCCGUGCCAGCAGCCGCGGUAAUACGGAGGGUGCAAGCGUU
rnacentral:rRNA from 1 species